AAUAAAUAUCUCGCUAACAUGAUUGCAUCAAAUGUUAUUUCAUAUGGUAAAACACCAUUCUUUUUAUUUAGUUGUCAUUUUUCAUAUCAUUGUCAGAAUCAGACCGAAGGAUGGAAAAACCAAGAGAUCACCAAGUGGUGGGUCCGCAACUGCAGGCCACUAAGAGGAACCAAAAUUCUUCUUUCCUUAGAACUUUCACUAAACUAAAGCCUAAAAUGAGGUAAAAAGCCUGCACAAAGGUUAAACAACAAUAUUAAAUCUCAUUUAACAUUAUCUGCAAGUUCUAUUAUAUGCCCUUGCUUGUCUUUUUCCUUAGUUUAUACCAGACUUCUUUCUAUUUCUCUGUGUGUUUCUUCUUAUGCAUUGUCACGCCCCCUACUUCUUACUCAUUAUUGCACACAAUUUUAUCAGUUUCCCAGAAGUAUAUGCUGAAAAGCAGAUAUAAUCUUUUGCUUUAACUACUUAAGAAAUUGAGCACUACUGUGAGAAGUGAGCACUGAGUAUGAGCUCUCACCAGAGAUGCAAUGCUUUCUUUUAUAUAUAUAAUGGGAAAGCAGCGAGGGACAUUGAUGAAGAUCUUGAUUCUAAUAAUAAUUU
rnacentral:lncRNA from 1 species